rnacentral:rRNA from 1 species
UAGGGAAUCUCCGGCAAUGGGGGCAACCCUGACCGAGCAACGCCGCGUGAGUGAAGAAGGCUUUCGGAUCGUAAAGCUCUGUUGUAAGAGAAGAACGUGUGUGAGAGUGGAAAGUUCACACAGUGACGGUAACUUACCAGAAAGGGACGGCUAACUACGUGCCAGCAGCCGCGGUAAUACGUAGGUCCCGAGCGUUGUCCGGAUUUAUUGGGCGUAAAGCGAGCGCAGGCGGUUUAAUAAGUCUGAAGUUAAAGGCAGUGGCUUAACCAUUGUUCGCUUUGGAAACUGUUAAACUUGAGUGCAGAAGGGGAGAGUGGAAUUCCAUGUGUAGCGGUGAAAUGCGUAGAUAUAUGGAGGAACUCCGGUGGCGAAAGCGGCUCUCUGGUCUGUAACUGACGCUGAGGCUCGAAAGCGUGGGGAGCAAACAGG